rnacentral:rRNA from 1 species
GACGAACGCUGGCGGCGUGCUUAACACAUGCAAGUCGAACGGUGAAGCGCCUUCCUUUUUGGUGGGUGUGGAGGAGUGGCGAACUGGUGAGUAACACGUGAGUAACCUGCCCCCUUCUUCUGGAUAACCGCAUGAAAGUGUGGCUAAUACGGGAUAUUCUGGGUCUGUCGCAUGAUGGGUCUGGGAAAGAUAUUGUUUCGGUGGGGGAUGGGCUCGCGGCCUAUCAGCUUGUUGGUGGGGUGAUGGCUUACCAAGGCGGUGACGGGUAGCCGGCCUGAGAGGGUGGGCGAUCACACUGGGACUGAGACACGGCCCAGACUCCUACGGGAGGCAGCAGUGGAGAAUAUUGAACAAUGGGCGCAAGCAUGAUGCAGCGACGCCGCGUGAGGGAUGGAGGCCUUCGGGUUGUGAACCUCUUUCGCCAGUGAAGCAGGCCUGCCUCGUUUGUGGGUGGGUUGACGGUAGCUGGAUAAGAAGCGCCGGCUAACUACGUG